GAUGAACGCUGGCGGCGUGCCUAAUACAUGCAAGUCGAGCGAACAGAUGAGGAGCUUGCUCCUCUGACGUUAGCGGCGGACGGGUGAGUAACACGUGGAUAACCUACCUAUAAGACUGGGAUAACUUCGGGAAACCGGAGCUAAUACCGGAUAAUAUAUUGAACCGCAUGGUUCAAUAGUGAAAGACGGUUUUGCUGUCACUUAUAGAUGGAUCCGCGCCGCAUUAGCUAGUUGGUAAGGUAACGGCUUACCAAGGCAACGAUGCGUAGCCGACCUGAGAGGGUGAUCGGCCACACUGGAACUGAGACACGGUCCAGACUCCUACGGGAGGCAGCAGUAGGGAAUCUUCCGCAAUGGGCGAAAGCCUGGCGGAGCAACGCCGCGUGAGUGAUGAAGGUCUUCGGAUCGUAAAACUCUGUUAUUAGGGAAUAACAAAUGUGUAAGUAACUAUGCACGUCUUGACGGUACCUAAUCAGAAAGCCACGGCUAACUACGUG
rnacentral:rRNA from 1 species